ensembl:lncRNA
GGGAUGAUCUCCAGCUGGAUUCCAUCCUCUGCUGACAUGGCCACAGUGAGACACCAACUCCAAGAGAGAUCAGGACCAUUUGGGACCGAUGGAUGCCAAUCAGGGGCUGCCAGCCCUUUGGCCAUUCCCCAUCCCUCAACCCUAGACCGGGUUGUAAGUGUGUCAUGACUUUUGACCUCUAAGCUGAGCUCCCAAGCCAGAACCCCUUGGCGUCUCUGUGGCUUGGAAGGGAAAUAGUUUCCAAGGGGAAGAGGAGGCCAGCGUUCCAAGACGGUUGCCAAGAGUGGCCAGUUCAAAGGGGAUUUUCUUGGCAUGAGGCUGUGGUUUCCGGCUUCUGAACCCAGCUUGCUGUUGAUCCUGAGUGUGAUUAGAGAGGACGGUGCCCACUGGGACCCCAAGCGAGAAGCUGAUGAUACAGAGGAGAAGAGGGAGAGGAGAAUGCAUCAAGAGCUUUUCAUCUUCCCUUCCUCAUGGCUUGUGCCAAUACAUAUGACAGGAGCAGGGGAAGUUGGUCAAGGCAAUCCUUAUUCAGUUUGGGAGUUCAAGCAUCACCAUGUUCUUGGUGCUCUCCUUUAGCAACACAGGGAACUCUUGACAGUGAGCUGCUUGGGACUCAGAAGAACAAAUUCUUGUUGGAAAACUGUCCCCGGUCCAUGGUCUCCAAAACCAAACAGAGAUUUCUUUGGUUUCCUUUUGUGGCCUUCACAAAACAGUCAAGAAUUCAGCACAUCAAUCUAGAUUCUGGGAGAAAGAAAACUCUGUUCAGAGCCUGAAAUAGCUACGGUGGGUCAGAAACACACAAGAGCUCUCUAUAUGCCAGCUCCCAGUGUCUGAGGUCUGGAGACUAGAUUUCCUUGUUUCUGAGAGUGGAUUUUGCCAGCCUAAGUGAUGGCAGCAGUCAAGGCACUGACAGAGUUCCUGUAGAAGCACACAGCUUACAUAUCUUCAUACUCAACUUUGGAGGAGAGAUCCUAAAAAUGGACUUUCCUUGUUAAAGAGAUGGUAGCAGCAGGGGCAGCCAGGUAGCACAGUGGAUAGAACACCAGGACUGGAGUUGGGAGGACCUGGGUUCAAAUUUGACCUCAGAUACUUUUUCACUGUGUGAUUCAGGGCAAGUCACUUAGCCCCAGUUGCCUAGACUUUGUCUUCCUUCCAUCUUAAAACUGAUACUAAGGGUUUGAGAGAAAGGAAGGUUUGAAGAGACAGAACAGAGACAGAGACAGAGACAGAGACAGAGACAGAGACAAAGAAAGACAGAGAAAGAGGGGGAGGGAGAGAGAGAGAGAGAGAGAGAGAGAAAGAGAGAGAGAGAGAGAGAGAGAGAGAGAGAGAGAGAGAGAGAGAGAGAGAGAGAGAGAAGCACAGCCUAGGCACUGAGAGAUCUUGGAAGCAUGUUAUAUCAGAAAUGGACAAGUGAAUGCAUGCUUAGUCUGAGAUGGAGUUUCCAUUUAGGGGUUUACCUUAUGGAGAAUCCAAGGUCUGAGAAUUUGGAAAGUGGAUCUUGCAGAGAGAGCAGAGGCUUUCUUCAUGCAGCCUGCCUCUUGGAGAAAGAAGAAUGUUAUCAACAUAGUUCCUGAGCAGUAACCCAUUUGAAGAGCAAAGCCAAUGCAUUCUUCCAAUGUACAGUUUUGAGAGGAAGAGGAUUAUUUGUUCAGCAGCCUCUAAAGCAUUGUUUACUUCUGAGAGAGAGUCUAAACCAGUGGAUGGCAAUAGGAGUCUGGGGGGGACUGGUUUGGAUGCUGUGGGAAAAGGAAACUCAGAGGGAUGUGACAGGGUUGACCUGAAAGCAAUCCCAACUUUCAUUCUAUUCUGGGGGGAGCUGGCGAUGCCCUUUCAUUAUCCUGUUUUUGUAUUCUUUUAUGAAUGCUGCUAGUCCUUUCCAUUUUUUCUGUGGGAAAAAUAAAGACAGCCCCAUAGCUAAUUUACA